UAAGUAGAUGUAUUCUGUGAACCGCAUUAAGAUUUUCACACAAAAAUAGAAAAAAAAACAAUUAAUUUUUGGGGUUCCCCAUAGAACUGAAACUCAAAAAAAAUUUUUUCAUCAAACCCAUACGUGUGGGGUAUCUAUCGAUAGGUCUUCAAAAAUGAUAUUGAGGUUUCUAAUAUCAUUUUUUUUUAAACUGAAUAGUUUGCGCGAGAGACACUUCCAAAGUGGCAAAAUGUGUGACCCCCCCCUGUAACUUCUAAAAUAAGAGAAUGAUAAAACUAAAAAAAAUAUAUGAUGUACAUUACCAUGCAAACUUCCACCGAAAAUUGGUUUGAACGAGAUCUAGUAAGUAGUUUUUUUAAUACGUCAUAAA